ACGAACCCUGUGGGAGAGCGCGCUGCGCGACGCCCGACCGGUCGAUGGUCGGGAGAAUGUCGAGGCAGUGCCGCCGAAGGAGCAACCGGCCCCGGUAAACUCUCAGGCACCAGGGACCGCAGGGGAAUG
rnacentral:ncRNA from 2 species